rnacentral:rRNA from 1 species
UACAGAGGUCUCAAGCGUUGUUCGGAUUCAUUGGGCGUAAAGGGUGUGUAGGUGGCGCCGUAAGUCGGGUGUGAAAUUUCGGAGCUUAACUCCGAAACUGCAUUCGAUACUGCGGUGCUUGAGGACUGGAGAGGAGACUGGAAUUCAUGGUGUAGCAGUGAAAUGCGUAGAGAUCAUGAGGAAGACCAGUGGCGAAGGCGGGUCUCUGGACAGUUCUUGACACUGAGACACGAAGGCCAGGGGAGCAAACGGG